AAGGAAACAGGAGGAAUGUAAAACAGCAAGAAGAAAGCCCCUUCCAUAGUCCUUGAGGCUCACAUUCAAGAUGAGCUAUAAGGGCUAAAGUUGGAGAUUCCUCCCAGGAGCCACAGCAGGUGUGAACUUCAUGGCCAGCCUUCACACCCUGAAGAAGAGAGGUAUUUGGGUGAAAGGUCAACAUAGGUGCUUAACCUGAAAAAGUGCUGCAAGUUAAGAAGGACUUUGCUAUUAAGUUCUUUAAAUUCAAAGAACUGCAGAUGUCAACACAGUACUGUUUCAAAUGUCAAGGGCUCAAGUCCAGGAAACAAUCAAGAUCUCACCAAUAGUGGCCAAACAAGGUCCUUUAGACUGUGCUCAGACAUGAAUUCUUGUCAAGGAACAAAUAGUAAUUGCAAUGUAUCAGCAUUUGUUCACAAAGCCGCACAGCUGUCACUCGAGAUCAGACGUCACCACCUGUUGAUCGCAGCAAGUACAAGUGUCGACCUUUGUCAUUCUUGUCCUUCUGCCUCUUGCAGCCACUCUGUCCAGCUCUUCUGGAGUACUCACAGCAAGCUCUCCUUCAUAGACUCUGAGUUAUAACUUUGUGCAUUGUGUUUGUUUGGUUUAAGAGUUAUGUCUCUAACUAAAUUCUCAGCC
rnacentral:lncRNA from 1 species